rnacentral:lncRNA from 1 species
AUUAAACCCAGGGGUGCUCUACCACUAAGCUACACCCCCCCCAGUUCUUCUAAUUUUUAUUUUUGUUUUAAUUUUGAGACAGGAUCUCACUAAAUUGCUCAGGUUGGGCAAUAGUGAGAGGUCAUAUGCAUGUGCUCUAGUUGACAGUCUCAGCCUGUGUCCCAACCUGUGGCCAGCAUGCUUCUGCCUCAGCCUCCAGAGUAGCUGGGAUUACAGGCAUACACCCCUGCACCACGCUGAUAUUCAUUCAGUCUAUCAGAUACAGGAUAAGCACACCAGAAUCUCUAUGCAAACUUUUAAGCUUGUGCAAAGCACUUCCUUAGACUUAUCUAUUAACACCAAUUAAAAGGAAUUUGGGGAAUUCAUCAGUUAAUUUUUUUUUCCAAUUAGUAAAUAUUUCAGCCAGUAUUUUCAAGUCCUGUGGAAGUUCUAUUUUUAAACAGACAACCCAAGAUUAAGGAAUUAUGAUACUACACCAGCUUCUCUGUUCCUCUCCACUGCUCUGUUCCCCAUAUAAUUUUCUCAGGCCCUAAUGCCUUUCUAGACCUUCUUUCCUUAUCACUGACUUGCUUUGGGGGAGAUGAAAUGGUCUUCCAGGACCUUCUACGUGGGCAGAAGGUAACAAGUCCUUCUCUGUUUCCUCAUCCACAAAAUAAGAAAAUAGAAUCACCUAACUUAACUUCAACUGGUCUAGACCACAAAAGAGGGUAUUUGUUCUUUUCCAUGGUGACAGCAUGGGGCGUCUGUAUGAGUCUGCUUGGGCUGCUAUAACAACAGCAAAAAGCAUGGAUUAGGUGGCUUAAUUUUCUCACAGAUCUGGAGGCUGGUAAGUCCAUGGUCAGGAUAUAACAAAGCAGAUUUCACUCAGAGCCCUCUUCUCUUAGCUGAUAGGCAGCUUGUAGGCAGCUGUCAUUUGCUGUGUGCUAACAUGACUACUUAGAGGAAUGUGCUGGGAAAGACCCCACAUUCUCUGGUGUCUCAUAUAAGGACAUCCAUCCUAUUGCAUAAAGGCCCCAC